rnacentral:lncRNA from 7 species
GAACAAGCAGCUUUAGUUCAGCUGUGUUCGGGCUUAUUCCUUGCCUCUAUUUGACUUUGCUCCUAGGUAUGGUGUGCAACUCGUUGCUGGUUCCAUGAGAGCUUCUCCACGGCGCUCACACAGGGACAUAAAAUGUGAGGGGUGGCCUCUGUCCUCCUGGCACCGUGGUUCCCUGAGUGCAGCUCCCUUCCUUGAGCAGGAUCAGAGCAGGGCUUCGGAGGAUCCUAUGCAGAGAGCAUCCUCCAAGGACGUGUUUUCAAAGACUCUCCAUCUCCCAAAGGCUGAAUAAUCUCAAGAAAGGGCCCAGGAAGAAGUGAAAUCCUCUCCAGAACGGUCAUUUGCAAGAGUGUGUUUCCGUAACCUUGCAUUGUUACAGCAUCACAAGGAUUUGUCUCCUCUUCUGGCUCCAGCACGCAUGUUCCUGGCUCCCAUGGAGGCACUGUGGACAGCCCAUGCCAUACAACGUGCCAGAAACAUGACCUCCCCAUGAACUUCGGGCCAUAUUUUCAAGUCUGCGCCCAGCUCCUUGCAGGCAGGGCUGUCUGGCCAGUGCAUUCUGGCCCUUUUGCAUGGAAAAUGAGCUGUGUCAGCCUUCGUGGCCCACUGGCUUGCCAGCUGCAUCCCUAACAGCACUUUGCAGCCUCCUCCCUCCGUGCUCAACAUGUUGCCUUCACCUGGCACAUGGGACAGCAACGAGGGGACUGUGAGCUUGUCCUCGGUGGCUGGGGCCCAGCUGGCCACCCCCAUCUCCCCACUGCAGCCACCGCACGCUCCUCGAUGCAGCAGAACUCAAUGUACAGCCCUUUUAUUUUUCCUCCUUGGUUUUCCUGUUUCCAGAACAGUUGAAUAUUUUACUUGCAUCGUGCCCCAGUUCCCCAGUUUCCAGCAGGCAGAACAGGGCGAUCUGUACUCACCUCUUGCAGCAGCUGGUGCUUGUUCCCCUGGCAAAACUUCACUUUGGAGCUGAACCCAACAAUGCUGCUGACUCCAACUGAUUCUUUCUCCCCCAGCCUAAGGCACUUUAUGAUGAUAUUAAUAACCAGACACUGAGGUUCAGCACUAAGGAUUUCUUAAGCUUGCUGCUGGGGCUGUGAUUGAGCUUUGUAGCCAUCUCUGCUUCAUCCCAUGAUCCAUCAGGGUUGGUGGGGACACCCAGACCUCUUUUGGGAAGUCCCUCCACAGCUCCUCCCUCCCAUAGCACCCAUGGGGUCAGGGGCAGACCGGGUGCUCCCAGACCUCUUUCCUGUUCUGCCCUUAAUACAUCAAAGGGAGAUCUCUUGUUCGAUGGUUCUCUAUUAACCCUAUUCAUGAGUCUUUUAAUUAGUGUUGCCUUCUGCUAAGUAAUCGCUUCAGCAUUAGCUCCUCUGGGGCAAUGCAGAGCUGCAACAGGGCACUGCAGGAGCUGCAUGCUGCUGUUCUGCUUUCUGGACCUGCUCCUGCUGGCAACUAUGCCAUUCCUUUUGCACAGACCGCACAGUGCCAGAGCAGCCCACUAAAACUUGCAAAGAAAAGCAGAAAGAAGCAUCUGAAACCCCACCAGGAGCUGCGGCAGGUAGAGUUCUAUCCUUACAUCUGGGAAACCUCCAGCUCAGCUCAAUCCUGCUGAUGCACUGCUAAGGGGAGCUUUGUAGUGGCCCUAUUCAAAGCACUCAGCUCUGGGGGCAUGUUUCCCCCAGCACCCAGGAGUAAUGUUUCCUUUGUUAAUUCAGGGUCCCCACCAAUCUGCAUCACCCCAUGCCUGGAGGCAGAGCUGCCAUGGCUGCCUUUUAUCCCCUGCAUCCUCCGGCAGAGCUCACAAAGUGGUACUUUGUACCAGAGCAAGAAACAAGAGACGUGAGCUGUAAUACAGGAGAGAGAGAAAAAAAAACCCUCAUCUCACCCCUUGUGUUUUUCCUGGAAAUGUCACUGCCCUUAAUGCAUCAAAUAAUUAGAAUCACUUCUCCCCUUUUGUUUGCCUUGGCCCUCACUGCUCGCAUUGAGUGGGCCAACAUAAACCUGUGCGCACCACAGGAAUUUUGGGCACAGCCCAUUCUGCAGUGUUGGGUGCAGGGGGAGAAGUGGCUGCAGGAGCUUUGGUUCUGCUCCAUAUGUCUCUGCUGCUGUGGGCACUGCUGGGCACAGAGCUCCCGUAGAGAGGACCUCACUGCAACGCUAGCGCUCAACCAAGUGCUGGUCCCAAUGGAAAUCCACUGUCCUGGAGAGAAGCAGCAGCAGCUGAUGCCCAUUUAAUGCCAAAAUUGCAGAUUUGUGUUUGACCUGAGUGGUGGGUGUGAGCGUGAUGCUGGCGGGACAGAUGGGUGGAUAGCUCUCUGAAGUCCCAGUGGGAUGUUAUGCUUGUUGCUCUGUAGUUGUAGCCUUCUCCUCUGGGUGCUGGGGAGUGCUCCGAGGUGACGUGGGAGAACAUAUCCCUUGUGAAUGCUGGAAAGCUGUGCUGGGUGAGGUGGCAUUGCACCACUAAUCCACGCACAGAGGAGCCCAGCACCCCCUCAGCACCCCUUACAGACACAGAUGGACACAGCCAGCAUCACAGCCCAGCUGGCUGCCUGCCCCCAGCACCGCUCCCAUGGGCUGCAUGUAUGUCAAUGGGUUAUUAAAGAAACGGAUGGGGGAUUAGCUGUGCUGUAGGUAGAGACCCCAUUCAGAUUUGCUAAGUUUCAGCAAGUAUGUUUUCAAUAAUUGGCUGGUAUUUGUAAGAAAUGAAUAAAACCUAGGCUACUAAAGCUGGUCCUUCUCUUAUUAUAAGGCAUUUAUUGCAUGCUUAGAAGCAUAUGUCUUCAAUAUCUGAAGCAAAGGAAAGUAAUAUAUAAGGAUCCCUUCUUAAACACAAAUAUAUGCAGCCAUAAUCACAAUUAUUAGCCACCAUGAAAUAGCUAAGAAACUGAAGAAGCCCCAUCAGCAGCAGCUUUACAACUAGGGGUGCAUAAGAAAUAAAGACAAAGGCGAGAAUUGCCCUCUUAGCUGUGCGAGACUCCACAAGGCAGAGGAAGGAUCAGCUUUGCUGAGGAGUGUUGGCAUCUCGGAGAAGGUUCACAGAUGAAGCCAAUGGAGAAGGGUGUGCAGGAGCGGGGCAGGGAAUUGGGAAGCAGCGCUGCUGCUGGUGGUUGUAUCCUUCUGAAGAAAGAACACUGGAAAACCAAAGCUACCUGUCACUGCUGCUGUUAUCGCAGAGGUAUUUGGGAGAGGGUGAGCGAAUGUUUCUGUAGAACUGCGUGC